rnacentral:rRNA from 1 species
UACAGAGGGUGCAAGCGUUAAUCGGAGUUACUGGGCGUAAAGGGCGCGUAGGCGGACUUUUAAGUCGGGUGUGAAAUCCCUGGGCUCAACCUAGGAAUUGCAUUCGAUACUGGGAGUCUAGAGUAUGGUAGAGGAAAGUGGAAUUCCCGGUGUAGUAGUAAAAUACGUAGAUAUCGGGAGGAACACCAGUGGCGAAGGCGGCUUUCUGGCCCAAUACUGACGCUGAGGCGCGAAAGCGUGGGGAGCAAACAGG